rnacentral:rRNA from 1 species
CCCUUAGAUGUUCUGGGCCGCACGCGUGCUACACUGACCGGCGCAACAAGCUUUUUUCCUUGGCUCGACAGGCCUGGGUAAUCUUCGAACGCCGGUCGUGAUGGGGAUAGAUCCUUGCAAUUUUUGAUCUUCAACGAGGAAUUCCUAGUAAAUGCGGGUCAUCAUCUCGCGUUGAUUACGUCCCUGCCCUUUGUACACACCGCCCGUCGCACCUACCGAUUGAAUGGUCCGGUGAAGCCUCCGGAUUGGCGCGCACCUCGGUGCCGCCGAGAAGUUGGCUAAACCUUACCAUUUAGAGGAAGGUGAAGUCGUAACA